ACGCUGGCGGCAGGCCUAACACAUGCAAGUCGAACGGUAACAGGAAGCAGCUUGCUGCUUUGCUGACGAGUGGCGGACGGGUGAGUAAUGUCUGGGAAACUGCCUGAUGGAGGGGGAUAACUACUGGAAACGGUGGCUAAUACCGCAUAACGUCGCAAGACCAAAGAGGGGGACCUUCGGGCCUCUUGCCAUCAGAUGUGCCCAGAUGGGAUUAGCUUGUUGGUGAGGUAACGGCUCACCAAGGCGACGAUCCCUAGCUGGUCUGAGAGGAUGACCAGCCACACUGGAACUGAGACACGGUCCAGACUCCUACGGGAGGCAGCAGUGGGGAAUAUUGCACAAUGGGCGCAAGCCUGAUGCAGCCAUGCCGCGUGUAUGAAGAAGGCCUUCGGGUUGUAAAGUACUUUCAGCGGGGAGGAAGGUGUUGUGGUUAAUAACCGCAGCAAUUGACGUUACCCGCAGAAGAAGCACCGGCUAACUCCGUGCCAGCAGCCGCGGUAAUACGGAGGGUGCAAGCGUUAAUCGGAAUUACUGGGCGUAAAGCGCACGCAGGCGGUCUGUCAAGUCGGAUGUGAAAUCCCCGGGCUCAACCUGGGAACUGCAUUCGAAACUGGCAGGCUUGAGUCUUGUAGAGGGGGGUAGAAUUCCAGGUGUAGCGGUGAAAUGCGUAGAGAUCUGGAGGAAUACCGGUGGCGAAGGCGGCCCCCUGGACAAAGACUGACGCUCAGGUGCGAAAGCGUGGGGAGCAAACAGGAUUAGAUACCCUGGUAGUCCACGCCGUAAACGAUGUCUACUUGGAGGUUGUGCCCUUGAGGCGUGGCUUCCGGAGCUAACGCGUUAAGUAGACCGCCUGGGGAGUACGGCCGCAAGGUUAAAACUCAAAUGAAUUGACGGGGGCCCGCACAAGCGGUGGAGCAUGUGGUUUAAUUCGAUGCAACGCGAAGAACCUUACCUGGUCUUGACAUCCACAGAAGAAUCCAGAGAUGGAUUUGUGCCUUCGGGAACUGUGAGACAGGUGCUGCAUGGCUGUCGUCAGCUCGUGUUGUGAAAUGUUGGGUUAAGUCCCGCAACGAGCGCAACCCUUAUCCUUUGUUGCCAGCGGUUAGGCCGGGAACUCAAAGGAGACUGCCAGUGAUAAACUGGAGGAAGGUGGGGAUGACGUCAAGUCAUCAUGGCCCUUACGACCAGGGCUACACACGUGCUACAAUGGCGCAUACAAAGAGAAGCGACCUCGCGAGAGCAAGCGGACCUCAUAAAGUGCGUCGUAGUCCGGAUUGGAGUCUGCAACUCGACUCCAUGAAGUCGGAAUCGCUAGUAAUCGUGGAUCAGAAUGCCACGGUGAAUACGUUCCCGGGCCUUGUACACACCGCCCGUCACACCAUGGGAGUGGGUUGCAAAAGAAGUAGGUAGCUUAACCUUCGGGAGGGCGCUUACCACUUUGUGAUUCAUGACUGGGGUGAAGUCGUAACAAGGUAACCGUAGGGGAACCUGCGGUUGGAUCACCUCCUUACCUUAAAGAA
rnacentral:rRNA from 2 species